AUGCGGCCGUCGCCCAUGGCGGCAAGGGCGGCGAGCGGGUGCUCCUCGGCGGCGCUGGCCUUCUUCCGCAUCCGCCCGCUCGGCCGCGCCGCCCGCCUGGGCCCCGCGGGCCGCUCCGCGUUCGGCGCCACUGCCGCCUGCCGGGGCCGCCUCGUCGACUCCGUCCUCCAGGAGCUCCGGUCCCGGAGGCGGGUCCGGGUCUCCGCAAGGAUAGGAUUGCAGGGCACAAAGGAACUGUCGGAUAGUAAGAUAGAGAAGAGAACAAUACAAAAAGGAUUGCUGCUUGAAUUUCACAAAGACUCUGAGAGAUCCUUGCUCGCUGUUGUCGAAAGGCCUGAUGGGAAGAAAAACUGGGUAGUCACUGACCAGAAUGGUAUCUUAUCUUCUAUAAAGCCCCAGCAGGUGACAUAUGUUGUACCUGGUACCAUGGAUUUUGAUUGUUCAAGAAUAGCUGAAUUUCUCGAGAAAGCGCAAGAUCUCUUGGACCCUACUAUCUUGGAAUGUGCCUGGAUGGAGCUUUCUGAGAAGGACAAAUCAGUAACUGUUGAGGAGUUUGCCGAUAUAGUUUAUGGCAGCAAGGAGUCUCUGGAAAGCUACUGUGCACACUUUUUGUUGUCACGGGAUAUUGUUUAUUUUGUGAAGGUGGAGAGCAGAGGCUCUUCCAUAUACCAGCCUCGCCCAUCUGCUCAGGUGGAUGAACUUUUACGACGGAAGCUUGCUAAAGAGGCCGCCGAUAAGGAACUGGAAGAAUUUGUCCACCUACUCAAGUCUGCUAAAGCAUUGCCUCUAGGCUCUAAGCCUCCAAAAAAUUCAUGGUUGAUGGAAGAGAAAGUGAAACAAAAAAUCGAGUCUCUUCAGGCAUAUGCAGUUGAUGCGUGUAAUGAUGAACAAAGAAGAAUGGCAGGAAAUAUUCUCAAGGCUAUGGGUUUUGCACGGACGUCAUCAGCUGCCCUAAAGCUCCUUAUAAAUGUGGGUUACUUCCCCGUGCAUGUCAAUCUUGAUCUUUUCAGGUAUGAUGUUCAAACCACGUAUACCGAGAAAGUUUUGUCUGUUGCUGAGGAGCUUCUGGUGGAUUGUCCUGAUUCAGAUAAGCAUGUCAGGAAGGAUCUUUCAAAUUUGAGAGUGUAUGCCAUUGAUGUGGAUGAGGCUGAUGAACUUGAUGAUGCAUUAAGUGCAACUAGACUACCUGAUGGUAGGAUAAAGAUCUGGAUACAUGUAGCUGACCCAACAUGCUUUCUUCAACCCCGGAGCAUCCUUGACAGGGAAGCAAUGCACAGAGGAACCUCCAUAUUUUUACCAACUGCCACCUUUCCAAUGUUCCCAGAGAGGCUUGCUAUGAAUGCUAUGAGUUUGCAACAGGGUACAGAUUGUAGAUCUGUAAGCGUAUCUGUGAUUUUGCAUCCAGAUGGAAGUAUUGCAGAAUAUUCGAUAGAGAACUCAGUAAUCAAACCUACCUACAUGUUAACAUAUGAGGGUGCAACUGAAUUGCUGUACAUGAAUCUGGAAGAAGAGGAAGACCUGAGGAUUCUUCAAGAAGCUGCUUCAAUUCGUGCACAAUGGCGUCGUAGCCAGGGUUCAAUCGACACUGCUAUGAUAGAACCUCGUAUCAAGGUGGCAAAUCCUGAUGAUCCUGAACCAAACAUUAAUUUAUAUGUUGAAGAUCAAACCAACCCAGCAAUGCAGCUUGUAUCUGAGAUGAUGAUACUUUGUGGGGAGGCGGUGGCUGCGUUUGGUUCUGACAACAACAUUCCUUUGCCAUACAGAGGGCAUCCCCAGUCUAAUACAGCUGUGUCAGCAUUUGCCUAUCUACCUGAAGGGCCUGCCAGGAGCGUUGCCAAUAUCAGUGUGCUUCGUGCUGCAGAAAUGGAUUUUCGAAAACCUGUCGCACAUGGUGUCCUCGGAAUUCCUGGCUAUGUACAGUUCACCUCCCCUAUUCGAAGAUAUGUCGACCUGCUUGCUCAUUAUCAGGUAAAGGCUUUUCUUAGAGGUGAAUCUCCACCAUAUUCAGCUGGUGAUCUGGAAGGGAUGACAUUUAUUGCGAGCAUGCAUGUUAAAGUAGCUAGGAAGCUCCAUAGCAACAGCUUACGUUACUGGUUGCUGGAGUACUUAAGGAGGCAGCCAAAGGGGAGGAAGUAUAGAGCACUCAUACUUAAGUUCAUCAAGGAUCGCAUGGCAACAUUGCUUUUGGUGGAUGUCGGGAUUCAGGUCACAACUGUGGUUGCAGCCGGGAAGGUGGGAGAUGAAGCAAGUGUCGUUCUGGAAAUGGUUCAUCCCCGCGACGACAUCUUAUCAGUUACGGAGAUUGCACAAGACACGGAGGAGUAA
rnacentral:rRNA from 1 species